rnacentral:rRNA from 1 species
AACGAACGCUGGCGGCAGGCUUAACGCAUGCAAGUCGAGCGGGCGCUCUAGGGCGUCAGCGGCGGACGGGUUAGUAACGCGUGGGAACGUGCCCUUUGCUUCGGAAUAGCCCUGGGAAACCGGGGGUAAUACCGGAUGUGCCCUGAGGGGGAAAGGUUUACCGGCAAGGGAUCGGCCCGCGUCUGAUUAGGUAGUUGGUGGGGUAACGGCCCACCAAGCCGACGAUCGGUAGCUGGUUUGAGAGGAUGAUCAGCAACACUGGGACUGAGACACGGCCCAGACUCCUACGGGAGGCAGCAGUGGGGAAUCUUGGACAAUGGGGGCAACCCUGAUCCAGCCAUGCCGCGUGGGUGAUGAAGGCCUUAGGGUCGUAAAGCCCUUUCGCCGGGGAAGAUAAUGACGGUACCCGGUAAAGAAGCCCCGGCUAACUCCGUGCCAGCCGCCGCAGUAA